AAAAUGGGUCGUGAUCAAUCCUACUGGGCCUCCAUCGAAUCUGAAAUUGAAGUCCAUCUUAAAAAGGCCUUAUCAAUUAGGCCACCUGAAUCUGUCUUCGAGCCCAUGCAUUACUUGACAUUUACAACACCCAAAUCCAUAGCACCAGCCUUAUGCGUUGCAGCAUGCGAGCUGGUAGGUGCUGAAAGGGCCCAAGCCAUGGCUGCUGCAUCAGCAAUACAUCUCAUGCAUGUUGCUACUUACACCCACAACCACAUGCAUGGUUCCGGGCCCACAAUCGACCACAAGUUUGGACCUAAUAUCGAGCUUCUCACGGGAGAUGGGAUCAUGCCCUUUGCUAUUGAACUACUAGCCAAAGACAUGAGCCCGGCUCAAGAGAACUCGGACAAGAUCUUAAGGGUUAUAACUGAGGUCACACGGGCCGUAGGGUCACAAGGGCUGUUAGAAGGCCAGUUUAGGGCUGUAGAAUGGACUCAAUCAGGCAAUGGAGAUGAGGAAAUGUUGGAAUAU
rnacentral:lncRNA from 1 species